UUGUGGAGUUGGGGUUAUAUAUGAGAUAAUCAGGUAGAGUAUCAGAGAGGUUAUUGUGGUGUUGGUGUUAUAUAUGAGAUAAUCAGGUAGAGUAUCAGAGAGGUUAUUGUGGUUUUAUC